rnacentral:misc_RNA from 1 species
AAGCUAAGGAUCUGUCACAGAGAAAGAUGGCGAGUAUGUGUCAAAUGAACUGAUCUUGGUUUCCAUUUUCCUGAUCGGUGAAGAGCUAAAGAUUGAGGGUGGAACAACGAAUGUUUCAGCAGUGCUUGUGGUACAAAGUUGUGCAGGUGUGUUAUGGUUUGCAGUCAUCCAUCAACUGAAGUGUAAAAUUCUCUAAUGCAGCCAUAUUAAAGGAUUUAUUCAGUUAGGGCUACAAAAGUAUUGGAUCAAAUGUCUUUCCGUAGUAUAGUUCGUGACAUGAGGGAUGGGUUUGGGAGUUUAUCAAGGCGGAGUUUUGAUCUGAGGCUGUCAGGCCAUCACAGAGGGAAAUCUCAUGGUUCAGUAAGCGAGUUGCAUGAUCAGCAUGUGGUAAUCCAGAACAGUCGUUGGGCUAGCCUCCCACCCGAGCUACUACUUGAUGUGAUCAAGAGAUUGGAGGCAAGUGAGAGUACUUGGCCUGCUCGGAAGCA